ACCGCCAUCACCUCCACCUCGGCUGAGUGUUUGUUGCUAUUCUUCUACUCAGCUCUCUGUUCACAAAACCUUGACACACAUUCACAGUUCUAGUGUCAUAGCUUGCCUUCGUGCCAACAGCUGGAGAUUGUGAUGUCUACCCCAGGUUUGUUUAAGGUUCUUCAACAGCUGGUGCAGGAGCAUCCUACUACAACCUUAGGAGUAAUUCUU